rnacentral:rRNA from 1 species
CCCGAAACCCGGUGAUCUAGCCAUGGGCAGGUUGAAGGUUGGGUAACACUAACUGGAGGACCGAACCGACUAAUGUUGAAAAAUUAGCGGAUGACUUGUGGCUGGGGGUGAAAGGCCAAUCAAACCGGGAGAUAGCUGGUUCUCCCCGAAAGCUAUUUAGGUAGCGCCUCGUGAAUUCAUCUCCGGGGGUAGAGCACUGUUUCGGCAAGGGGGUCAUCCCGACUUACCAACCCGAUGCAAACUGCGAAUACCGGAGAAUGUUAUCACGGGAGACACACGGCGGGUGCUAACGUCCGUCGUGAAGAGGGAAACAACCCAGACCGCCAGCUAAGGUCCCAAAGUCAUGGUUAAGUGGGAAACGAUGUGGGAAGGCCCAGACAGCCAGGAUGUUGGCUUAGAAGCAGCCAUCAUUUAAAGAAAGCGUAAUAGCUCACUGGUCGAGUCGGCCUGCGCGGAAGAUGUAACGGGGCUAAACCAUGCACCGAAGCUGCGGCAGCGACGCUUAUGCGUUGUUGGGUAGGGGAGCGUUCUGUAAGCCUGUGAAGGUGUGCUGUGAGGCAUGCUGGAGGUAUCAGAAGUGCGAAUGCUGACAUAAGUAACGAUAAAGCGGGUGAAAAGCCCGCUCGCCGGAAGACCAAGGGUUCCUGUCCAACGUUAAUCGGGGCAGGGUGAGUCGACCCCUAAGGCGAGGCCGAAAGGCGUAGUCGAUGGGAAACAGGUUAAUAUUCCUGUACUUGGUGUUACUGCGAAGGGGGGACGGAGAAGGCUAUGUUGGCCGGGCGACGGUUGUCCCGGUUUAAGCGUGUAGGCUGGUUUUCCAGGCAAAUCCGGAAAAUCAAGGCUGAGGCGUGAUGACGAGGCACUACGGUGCUGAAGCAACAAAUGCCCUGCUUCCAGGAAAAGCCUCUAAGCAUCAGGUAACAUCAAAUCGUACCCCAAACCGACACAGGUGGUCAGGUAGAGAAUACCAAGGCGCUUGAGAGAACUCGGGUGAAGGAACUAGGCAAAAUGGUGCCGUAACUUCGGGAGAA